rnacentral:rRNA from 1 species
AGGUUAAGUUAAUAAGGGCGCACGGUGGAUGCCUAGGCACUAGGAGCCGAUGAAGGACGUGACGAACGACGACAUGCUUUGGGGAGCUGUAAGUAAGCCUUGAUCCAGAGAUAUCCGAAUGGGGGAACCCAACAGGUAAUGCCUGUUAUCCAUAACUGUUAAGGUUAUGAGAAGGAAGACGCAGUGAACUGAAACAUCUCAGUAGCUGCAGGAAGAGAAAGCAAGAGCGAUUGCCUCAGUAGCGGCGAGCGAAGAGGCAGGAGGGCAAACCAGAGUGUUUACACUCUGGGGUUGUAGGACUGCGAUAAAGCAGCCAAGGGAAUAGAAGAAGACUCUGGGAAGAGUCGCCAGAGAGAGUAAGAGCCUCGUAUUUGAAAUUCACUUGAUGCCAAGCAGGAUCCUGAGUACGGCGGGACACGAGGAAUCCCGUCGGAAUCUGGGAGGCCCAUCUCCCAACCCUAAAUACUCCCUAGUGACCGAUAGUGAACCAGUACCGUGAGGGAAAGGUGAAAAGUACCCCGGAAGGGGAGUGAAAGAGAACCUGAAACCGUGUGCUUACAAGAAGUUCGAGCCCGUUAAUGGGUGAGAGCGUGCCUUUUGUAGAAUGAACCGGCGAGUUACGUUUACGUGCGAGGUUAAGUUGAAGAGACGGAGCCGUAGGGAAACCGAGUCUGAAAAGGGCGGUUAAGUACGUAGAUGUAGACCCGAAACCAAGUGACCUACCCAUGAGCAGGUUGAAGGUGCGGUAAAACGCACUGGAGGACCGAACCAGGACACGUUGAAAAGUGUUUGGAUGACUUGUGGGUAGCGGAGAAAUUCCAAACGAACUUGGAGAUAGCUGGUUCUCUCCGAAAUAGCUUUAGGGCUAGCGUCGG